rnacentral:misc_RNA from 1 species
AAGUCGUAACAAGGUUUCCGUAGGUGAACCUGCGGAAGGAUCAUUAAUGAAUUAAUAUCUCAUCCAUCCAAGCCACCGAGCCAGGGGCGGCGCGGUCCGUUAACGCGGGCCUACCUGUCGCCAUUCUGGCCGGCGGCCACACCCCUUGUGAACCGUUCUGAGCAUCGCAUGCGGCGCACGCGCAAGUGCACGUCGUGUCGCGGUGUUUCACACCCCUAGUAGUAGUAUGUUUUGUAAUUGAGAUUUAACUAUCAUGUCUUACGCGGCAAGAGCGUGCAGCAAGCAUGCACGCUCGAGCUCAAGUAGAAAAAUUGUCGAACAACUUUUAACAAUGGAUCUCUUGGCUCUC